AUUGAACGCUGGCGGCAUGCCUUACACAUGCAAGUCGAACGGCAGCACGGGGCAACCUGGUGGCGAGUGGCGAACGGGUGAGUAAUGUAUCGGAACGUACCAUUGAGGGGGGGAUAACGUAGCGAAAGUUAGGCUAAUACCGCAUAGACCCUGAGGGGGAAAGCAGGGGAUCGCAAGACCUGGUGCUCUUUGAGCGGCCGAUAUCAGAUUAGCUAGUUGGUGAGGUAAAGGCUCACCAAGGCGACGAUCUGUAGCGGGUCUGAGAGGAUGAUCCGCCACACUGGGACUGAGACACGGCCCAGACUCCUACGGGAGGCAGCAGUGGGGAAUUUUGGACAAUGGGCGCAAGCCUGAUCCAGCCAUGCCGCGUGAGUGAAGAAGGCCUUCGGGUUGUAAAGCUCUUUCGGCCGGGAAGAAAUCGUACAGGUUAAUACCCUGUGUGGAUGACGGUACCGGAAUAAGAAGCACCGGCUAACUACGUGCCAGCCGCCGCAGUAAUAC
rnacentral:rRNA from 1 species